rnacentral:rRNA from 1 species
CCCUUAGAUGGUCUGGGCGGCACGCGCGCUACAAUGAUGCAUUCAAAAAGUCUUCUGACCUUAGAAGGUUGGGUAUUCUCCAAAGUGCAUCGUGAUGGGAAUAGUUUAUUGCAAUUUUUAAUCUUGAACGAGGAAUUCCUAGUAAGUACAGGUCAUCAACUUGUGUUGAUUACGUCCCUGCCCUUUGUACACACCGCCCGUCGCUCCUACUGAUUGAGUGUCUCGGUGAAUUCUUUGAUCUUCUGUCGAUUCAGUUCACUGAUCCGACGGUGGAAGGUUGAAUGAACUUCGUCACUUAGAGGAAGGAGAAGUCGUAACA